rnacentral:rRNA from 1 species
CCUACGGGAGGCAGCAGUGGGGAAUAUUGCACAAUGGGGGGAACCCUGAUGCAGCAACGCCGCGUGGGUGAAGAAGUACUCCGGUAUGUAAAGCCCUGUCAGCAGGGAAGAAAAUGACGGUACCUGACCAAGAAGCCCCGGCUAACUACGUGCCAGCAGCUGCGGUAAUACGUAGGGGGCAAGCGUUAUCCGGAUUUACUGGGUGUAAAGGGAGCGUAGACGGCAAGGCAAGUCUGGAGUGAAAGCCCGGGGCCCAACCACGGGACUGCUUUGGAAACUGUGUUGCUGGAGUGCAGGAGGGGUAAGCGGAAUUCCUAGUGUAGCGGUGAAAUGCGUAGAUAUUAGGAGGAACACCGGUGGCGAAGGCGGCUUACUGGACUGUAACUGACGUUGAGGCUCGAAGGCGUGGGGAGCAAACAGGAUUAGAUACCCUUGUAGUC